GUAGCUUAGUUAUACAUACCUACAUAAUCAUUAUUUAGAAAUCACAAAUUUAAAACAAAACUUUUCAUGUUUUCGACGAAUUGUACUAAUCGACAUUUUUGUGUGGGUGUGUAGGAGUACAGUGUGCAGUUGACAUUCCGCGAACAGUGGACAGACGAGCGGCUGAAAUUCGAUGACAUACAAGGUCGCCUCAAGUACCUAACAUUGACUGAAGCAAAUCGUGUGUGGAUGCCCGAUUUGUUCUUUUCCAAUGAGAAAGAGGGUCAUUUCCACAACAUAAUCAUGCCUAAUGUCUACAUACGCAUCUUUCCGAAUGGUUCUGUGCUGUAUAGUAUUCGUAUAUCAUUAACGCUCGCAUGUCCCAUGAAUCUGAAAUUAUAUCCAUUGGAUCGACAAAUAUGCUCACUAAGGAUGGCAAGUUAUGGUUGGACAACAAAUGAUUU